CUUCCUCCUCCCCUGCCGAGACCACCCCGCGCCUCCCGUGCCCAGCCGCCGGCCGCCGGAGGGCUUUGUUUAGAAUGAGGAAAGAGGUCUUCCUGCCGCGUGGUCUCCGCGCCGGAGCCGCCUCUGAGGCGCCCACCUGGCGGGCUCUGCCCCGGGCCCGGCCGGGUCUGAUAGCUCGUGUACCGCUCAUCCCUGACGGUGCGCGGACAGCCGGUGCCUUCUGUGAGCGCCGAGGCUGAUCUGAUACCGCAGCUCCUCCCUCCCCUGGGUCUCGGUGUUUAGGCCUCCCAGUAGGCCCCAGGUCACCGAGGGUGGGGAGAUCAUGUUCUUCAGCCCACAAGAACCACCAGAGACAAGCUGGUGAGGAUUGUCCACUUUAUUACACACAGGUUACAGAUUUAAAAGCCUCAGACAGGAGCGGUCAGAGAUCACCAGGCAAGAAACACGGGAGGAUGGCUCCCUGCCCACAACCACAUCCAUGGACACAGCCUUCACUGCAGCUUCCCAAGAUCAUUGAAAGCGGGAAGCAAAGACUAAAGAACAUGCUGGCACAGUGGCUGCUCUGCUGCAGAGGACGAGGCACUCACCACCCAGUGGACCCCAGCCCUUGGAGCACCUGGCACUCCUGAGAAGUGGUGUGGGAUGGUGCCUUACAGCAGGCACUUGCUGCACAUCCUCAAUGUACUUCUCAUCCUCUAGCCAGGCUGCGUGGGUCCCAGGUGCGAGAAGGAAGGAGCAGGAGGCUUUCUCAAAACUACCAAUUUCAGAGAGCAAUCAGAAUUAACUUUCUUCAUGAUGUGGUCCAAUGUGUAUGAAGUCCAGCAGUGCAGUGGUCUGCCUAUCAGACUGUAAAAAGACAUGUUUACUUAUUGAAAGGGCAGAGUGAUAGGAGGUAUUAGACCAUAGUGACAAUCUCUGUGUAUGUGUAUGUGUGAGGGAGAGAGAGAGAAUUCUUCCAAUUUCCAAUGGUUGAAUUUCCAAAGGGCUUCAAAAUAGCCAGAUGUAGGGCCAGGUGAUGCCAGGAGAAGAACUCAUCCUGGUCCCACAGAUAAGUGGCAGAGGCCCACGCAUCUGGGUAAUCAAAUCUGCUGCCUUCUCAGGUGCAUUAGCAGAAAACUAGGUCUGAAGCUGAGCAGCUGCAACUCAAACUGGAGCUCACAUGUGGACUGCAGGCAUCACAAGGCAAACUGCAUAAUAAUAUUGCCCCAAUUUGCAUAUCAAUUUUUAAUGUGAAUCAAUGUGCUUUUUAUGUUUGUGAAAAAGACUUGUCAAUCCAGGUUAAAUUAUCAUGUGCAAAAAUUUUUUUCCAACAAUUAAAUUUUUCUGCCUUUACUAAA